rnacentral:lncRNA from 1 species
UGUUAUUCACAGGAGCAAUUUGGGGAGGUUCAGAUACUUGCAGCCAGAGGCUGCAUGGCCCCAAACCAUAAUUUCUAAUCUUGUAGCUAGUUUGUUAGUCCUACAAAGACAGACUCAGACUGGUCCCCAGGCAAGAAGGGGUGAUUUGUUUUGCUUUCCCCUUUGGGAAAGGGCUAUUAUUAAUUUUGUUUCAAAGUUGAACUAUAAACUAAAUUCCUUCCCAAGGUUAGUUUGGCCUAUGCCCAGGAAUGAACAAGGCCAGCUUAAAGGUUAGAAGCAAGAUAGAGUCGAGUCAGUUAGGUCUGAUCUCUUUUACUGUCAUAAUUUCCUUAGUUGUAAUUUUUGCAAAGGCAGUUUCAGCCUUGCUGGAACAAAGCCUAUGAUUGUUUUCUUUCUUUCUUUAUUAUUAUUAUUAUAUUUAUUAUUAUACUUUAAGUUCUAGAGUACAUGUGCACAAUGUGCAGUUUUGUUACAUAUGUAUACAUGUGCCGUGUUGGUGUGCUGCACCCAUUAACCCGUCAUUUACAUUAGGUAUAUCUCCUCAUGCUAUCCCUCCCCGCGCCCCCUGCCUAUGAUUGUUUUCAAGGUACCUGACUUACAUGGCAUUUUUAAACUGACGUGGGCCUGCUUUUCUCCUUCCUCUCUUGUCCUAAUAGUUGUAUAGGGCCAAAAUGUGAUAAUGUACAUUUGCUUUUGUCUUUAUCCAUUGUCCUUUCUGCUUUUGUGAUUAGGAUGUAAUGAAGUAGUUAGAAGCAUUCCCUCACAUUUCUCCAAUUGGCUUAUGCUGACUUUUUAUAUAAAACCGAUAUUUGCUCUGCCAGUGCAUCUGAAAAAUCCACCCGUAGAUUUAUUUAUUUAUUUAGUUUUAUUAUUAUUAUACUUUAAGUUUUAGGGUACAUGUGCACAAUGUGCAGGUUUGUUACAUAUGUAUACAUGUGCCAUGUUGGUGUGCUGCACCCAUUAACUCGUCAUUUAUCAUUAGGUAUAUCUCCUAAUGCUAUCCCUCCCCCCUCCCCCCACCCCACAACAGUCGCCGGUGUGUGACGUUCCCCUUCCUGUGUCCAUGUUUUCUCAUUGUUCAAUUCCCACCUAUGAGUGAGAACAUGCGGUGUUUGGUUUUUUGUCCUUGCGAUAGUUUUCUGAGAAUGAUGGUUUCCAGCUUCAUCCAUGACCCUACAAAGGACAUGAACUCACCAUUUUUUAUGGCUGCAUAGUAUUCCAUGGUGUAUAUGUGCCACAUUUUCUUAAUCCAGUCUAUCAUUGUUGGACAUUUGGGUUGGUUCCAAGUCUUUGCU